UUGCACUGGCCGGUCCAGGGUU
rnacentral:miRNA from 1 species